GACGAACGCUGGCGGCGUGCCUAAUACAUGCAAGUAGGACGCAGUUGCGAACGGGUGAGUAACGCGUAGGUAACUACCUAUUAGAGGGGGAUAACUAUUGGAAACGAUAGCUAAUACCGCAUACUAGUAGAUGGACCUGCGUUGUAUUAGCUAGUAGGUAGGGUAAUGGCCUACCUAGGCAAAGAUACAUAGCCGACCAGGGAGGGUGGUCGGCCAAACUGGGACCUAGGAACGGCCCAGACGCCUACGGGAGGCAGCAGUAGGGAAUCUUCGGCAAUGGGGGGAAACCUGAACGAACAACGCCGGGUGAAUGAAGGAGGUUUUCGGAUCGUAAAGGUCUGUUGUUAAGGAAGCGGUACUUAACCAGAAAGGGACGGCUAACUACGUGCCAGCAGCCGCGGUAAUUC
rnacentral:rRNA from 1 species